rnacentral:rRNA from 1 species
GUAGGUGGCAAGCGUUAUCCGGAAUUAUUGGGCGUAAAGCGCGCGCAGGCGGUUUCUUAAGUCUGAUGUGAAAGCCCACGGGCUCAACCGUGGAGGGUCAUUGGAAACUGGGGAACUUGAGUGCAGAAGAGAAAAGCGGAAUUCCGCGUGUAGCGGUGAAAUGCGUAGAGAUGUGGAGGAACACCAGUGGCGAAGGCGGCUUUUUGGUCUGUAACUGACGCUGAGGCGCGAAAGCGUGGGGAGCAAACAGGAUUAGAUACCCUGGUAGUCCACGCCGUAAACGAUGAGUGCUAAGUGUUAGAGGGUUUCCGCCCUUUAGUGCUGCAGCUAACGCAUUAAGCACUCCGCCUGGGGAGUACGGUCGCAAGACUG